GCCCGGGUAGCUUAGUUGGAAGAGCGUGGGACUUUUAUUCUCACUGAUCAUAGCCUGGAUAUAUAUAUUUGUUGUAUAGAGCAGGGCGAUCCCAAGGUCGCGGGUUCGAGCCCCGCCUCGGGCG